rnacentral:misc_RNA from 1 species
CUAUCUCUAUACCGAAAAGGAAUUCGUGCAAUACAAGGGGUCUGACGGCGAAUGGCAUUAUGUUACCCCAGCUCAUGCUGCCGCUCACGAAAUCAGUCACAUCAU